rnacentral:rRNA from 1 species
AACGAACGCUGGUGGCAGGCCUAACACAUGCAAGUCGAGCGGACCCUUCGGGGUUAGCGGCGGACGGGUGAGUAACGCGUGGGAACGUGCCCUUUGCUUCGGAAUAGCCCUGGGAAACUGGGAGUAAUACCGGAUACGCCCUUUGGGGAAAGAUUUAUCGGCAAAGGAUCGGCCCGCGUUGGAUUAGGUAGUUGGUGGGGUAAUGGCCUACCAAGCCGACGAUCCAUAGCUGGUUUGAGAGGAUGAUCAGCCACACUGGGACUGAGACACGGCCCAGACUCCUACGGGAGGCAGCAGUGGGGAAUCUUAGACAAUGGGGGAAACCCUGAUCUAGCCAUGCCGCGUGAGCGAUGAAGGCCUUAGGGUUGUAAAGCUCUUUCACCGGGGAAGAUAAUGACGGUACCCGGAGAAGAAGCCCCGGCUAACUCCGUGCCAGCCGCCGCCGUAACAC